rnacentral:rRNA from 1 species
GAUGAACGCUGGCGGCGUGCCUAAUACAUGCAAGUCGAGCGAACAGACGAGGAGCUUGCUCCUCUGACGUUAGCGGCGGACGGGUGAGUAACACGUGGAUAACCUACCUAUACGACUGGGAUAACUUCGGGAAACCGGAGCUAAUACCGGAUAAUAUAUUGAACCGCAUGGUUCAAUAGUGAAAGACGGAUUUGCUGUCACUUAUAGAUGGAUCCGCGCCGCAUUAGCUAGUUGGUAAGGUAACGGCUUACCAAGGCAACGAUGCGUAGCCGACCUGAGAGGGUGAUCGGCCACACUGGAACUGAGACACGGUCCAGACUCCCACGGUAGGCAGCAGUAGGGAAUCUUCCGCAAUGGGCGAAAGCCUGACGGAGCAACGCCGCGUGGGUGAUGAAGGUCUUCGGAUCGUAAAACUCUGUUAUUAGUGAAGAACAAAUGUGUAAGUAACUAUGCACGUCUUGACGGUACCUAAUCAGAAAGCCCCGGCUAACUACGUG